CCCUCGCCCAACAGAUCGCUAUUCGAAGCUCACACACGGAAAGAGUCGCAUGCUCUUUCGCCUUGCGCAAAGAAUAAAGCUUUGGGAGAAAGUCCCCGGACACCCACCUUCUUGUUCAUUCAGGAAGCUGGUCGCGGAAACGCGCCGCCAUAGAAGCACCGCGGCUGAUCUCGGCCGCCAGUUCCUUUGUCUGUCACGGCUCGCCCGGCCCAUCCACUCCAAAGUCGGCCGGCACUCCGUCGCGUCGUCGCGGGACCGUGCAGCAGUCCGUUCCCGGGGCGGUGGGACCACAUGGACGAAGAUAUGAGUCCGCGCUCUCGUUCCGGGGACGGAUUUGCUGUGCCCACGACGGGCGGCGGAUGAAGCCGGCCGAUGGUGGGCUGCCGCGGGGUCCGGUCUGGACGGGGAGCGUCACGGCUGGCUCGAGAGGUUUCGUCAAGAUGCCACAGAUAUGCGAUUGCUCGCUCCCCUGGCAACGGGGGCCGCGAGUUACUCGACGGGGCUCAUUCUUGGUGCGAGG
rnacentral:RNase_MRP_RNA from 2 species